CCAUGCAUGUCGAGUUCAUUUUAAGAAACUGCGAACGGCUCAUUAGAGCAGAUUUUAACGAUUCCAGGAAUCCUUAUUGGAUAACUGUGGUAAUUCUGGAGCUAAUACAUGCAACAAUGCUCAGUUUCGGCUGAGUGCAGUUAUUAGWACGAACCAAUCGCUUUCGGGCGUAGUUUGUUGACUCUGAAUACCUAGUUUAUCGGCGGUUUAUCCGCUGAAGUCUGGAAUUUUGUGUCUGCCCUAUCAACUAGAUGAUAGUCUAUUAGUCUAUCAUGGUUGUAACGGGUAACGGAGAAUCAGGGUUCGACUCCGGAGAGGGAGCCUUAGAAACGGCUACCACAUCCAAGGAAGGCAGCAGGCGCGUAACUUAUCCACUACUGUUUGUGAGAUAGGGACAGAACAUAAAAAGACUCAUCUUUCUAGAUGGGUUAUUUCAAUGAGU
rnacentral:rRNA from 1 species